rnacentral:misc_RNA from 1 species
UGGUUAGAUAAAAAUUUUACUGUCACAUCAUUAUUCACACGUUGAGGCUUAUCAAAUAUAUAAUAGUAAUAAUUGAAUUGCAUGCGCUAAACCAAAGCGACAACUCUAUAGCAUUUUUCAUUGAUAAGGACUUCACAAUGCACAACCACCUCUCCGUCAUAAUUAAAAAAAUAUAUAUAAUGUCAAGCUUCCUUAACUUCACAUUUGAUGGGUGUGGUUCAUGACCCCCUGCAUGGAAGGGAUUAGCAAGUAAUGACCCUACAACCUAGGACGAUUUUUGGAGAUGAUACUGAAAAAUAAUUCGAUGUCAAGGUAAAAAUAAUGGAACGUGCAAAAAGGAUAUGACUGGUCUGCAGAAUCAGCCAGGAAUGUGAUCCCAAGAGAAAGACUGCACAGCAUUUUCAAUCAGGCACAUGAUUUUGGACCAGAAGACCGUUGAGAAGGGGGUGCUCCAUAUCCGUAUUCCUAGUGAACGUUCUUUUAUCUAAAUGAUGAGCUCUGCCACCAGAUAAACAAAAUCAAGACGUGGAAACUAAACCAAGCAAUGCAGCACUCCACCAGCAUAUUUAUGCAAACAACGUUUAUGACAGUAAAUUCAGCUAGUGAGACAUGGAAAACAGAACUACACAUUUAUAUGGCAUUAUCACCAUGUCUACACUAAAAUUUAACUUGAACAAGGGCACAGAUAGUUGACCAAUAAGUAAAUAAAUUGAUUUUACAUUAUUAAACACAAGAAAAAUUAAGGUUUAACAUGUCAAAAUACUGAACUUUUUCUAUAGUAACUUUAAGCGGGCUACAGCAGUUACUGGCAUAUAGGAUUUAGAAAAAGCAUCAAAAAACAAUCCAUACCCAAUUGUGCCACACUUCAUAAGUCCAAUUCAUGGACACAAGAAAGAAACAACUCUUCAUGCUGUCUACCUUGCAAACUUCUAAUGAUGGCACCAUUAUUCAUCUAUGAAUUUUGGGCCUCAUACACAAAGUGCUUAUUGGCACCAACAUUAUCAAAAAAGUCCAAGGACAUCUAAAGAAAUUUGAUUGUUAUAUGCAUCGGACAUGGUGCCCAAGCAAUAAACUCAAUAAAAUUCAGAAUUUCUCUGAUGUGUAGAAGAAAUAAACAUGAGUAAAGCAGCAUAGAGACCUUACACUAGUUGAUUGGAGCUCCCUACUUCCUGAAUCCUCAUUAUCCUCAAUAAGCAAAUCCUUCCUGGUAAUCAAGCCAAUCACACGUGAAGCACGAGGGACAACAAAUAUGUGUCUUAAUCCCAGUUCGCGGAAAAGAUUAUACACCUUUGUUAAAGACAUAUCCUCAGGGACAACAUAUGGAGAAGGAUUCAAAAAUGGAGCAAGAUCUAUGUACAUUUCCAAGUCAUCCGAACUAAGAUGAAUAUCCUCUAUAGAAAUUCCUUUACUGGAAACAGGUUUCACAAAUUCACUGAAAUUGUGCCUGAUUGACCUGGAUCCACCACUAGGAUCACAGGGCAAAGGACUAUGCUGAAAGUCUACCUUAGACUGGAGAAGCACCAGCAAAUGGCUUCCAUGUAAACAAAAUAUUAAAAUUAGCUUGUUCAUCUAGUACAACGUACAGCCUCUGCUUCUAACAAAUGAAUAACAUACACCAAAAGUGAAUUGAGAGUUCUACCUGCGAAGUACAAGUCCAAUCACAAGGGUUUCUCCAUUUCUCGUGUGAUCAAUCACAGGAAAACCAUUAUGUUUAUUGCUCCGUAAAAUAGAAACUACGUCUGCAACCUUAGCAACACGAGGAAAGGAGAUAACCUUCAAAAGAAGGGAUCAAACCGAUCAAAGAGUUGAAACAAGUAUGCAGUACAAAAAGGAGGAAACAAUGGAAAGCAUCAAGAAAGCUACGACAAGCAUGGAUUGGCUUGAAGUGUUCAAAUUUCAUUUCCUCAGGUAAAUAGCAGUCAUAGAAUAUACACAGAGAAUGAUUUUAAUUAAGUUUAUGUUUGAACACUCAUGAUUUUAUCUGAAACAGAAACCCUAAGAACAGCAGACAAAAAUGAGAAGCAUAAGACUGAAAAUGACCUUCUGAUUUCCACAAGCUUCCCUUGCAGUCAUUUUUCUCAUCUGGUACUUAGGUCUGGUAUCCAGUAAUGGAAUGCCUCUCAAUUGGGCCUGUACUUCAUAUAGACCUUCGUUAAAAGCAUCACCAACAGCCUUUGAUAUAAGAAGAACAAGCAUGAUUAGAGGUAAAAGUUUCAAGUUGUUUGUGAUCUCAACCAUGAUCACACAUAAUGAGACUGUCAUCCGCAUUGAACCUCCAAGGAAAGAAGCAGCACCGAGCAGAGCAUAUGUUCCCUCCUCAAUGUUGGGUUUGUUGUAAAAUUUAACAACACACAUGCCGACAAGGCGUCCAUAUGUUGACCCUAUCAUUAUUCCAGGAACAAACUGACCAGCAGGAACUGCCGUGCCAAAUGUCACCACUGCCAAGGUAUAAAACAUUACCAGAAAUGUCAAUAAACUUUGGGCACUGAACUCAUGGAUCGUCUUUGCACUAAACAGAUUCCUUAUGGCGUCAUCCUGAGUAUUAAAGAAAAUCGUCGCAAGAUCGUUGUAUUCUUUGUUCUUGUCACAGUAGAAAUUUACAUAAUUCCCAUACAUUCCUGGAGGCCUUGGGCACUCAAUACCAGAGUCAGCAUCUACUUCAGGGCAUGGACUGCAUUUUCUUAGAAGUGGUAGUCCAAAAGAAAUAACUGAUGUUAUCACAGAGAUGAGGCAUGCUUCCACAACCUUUACUCGGACAGAUUUCUUAUGUAAAUAAUUUCGGCGCCAGCGAGUUAUGUAAAGUGUUAGCUGGUUAAAUAAAGCUCCAAGUAGACCACCAAUAACCCCAAUGACUGCCAUUGGAAGUAACUCUGCAAAAGAGUAGUCCUCUUGACCGUCUGAUAUGUCCCAUAUUACAAAGCCACCUGAGCCAAAAUGCCCACACUUUCCACUCUUGCACCAUCCCAUUGCAGUACGCACGACAACUGCCACAAUAGCAGAAGUAAAGAAGACUCGCCACAUAAGUUGACUCUUCCACCAUGAUGUAACUUCUUCCAAUGCAAACAAUACACCACCAACUGGAGCUCUAAAAGCAGCAGCAACUCCAGCUGCACAUCCACAGGUCACAAGAUCACGACGAUCCCGGUCACUCUUGAAAACUUGUAGCCACCUGGAACUUAGAUGAUAUUUGGUGGAUCCACCUUGUCCAAGCAAUGAAGCAAUACAAGCACCUGUGUGAACAAGAGGACCUUCUUUGCCUAAAGCAAGACCACCUCCCACAGAACCAAUGCUUCCAAAUAUCUUUCCAAUCAAGGUUCUGAAAAGUAGAAUGCCAUGAAUAUCAAGUCCAUUCAGAUAACCCUUAAUUUCAGGAAUACCAGAUCCUGCUGCCGCAGGUGCAAAUUGCGUGAUGAUAUAUACAGACGAAUAGACUAAAACCAAGUUAAUUAAUACAUAUACUACAAAGCCAGCAAAAUAUGAUUUUUGUAUUAUAGAAAAAGUGAGAGAAAAUUUCCAGCCAGCAAAGUUCUCAACAGAUAUGUUGAUGAAAACUGCAGCUAAUCCUGUACCAAUGCCAAUGAGCAAAGCAAAUAACCACUUCACGGCCACGUAAUAUCCAACAUAAAGCUUCCCUCUCUGCGCCUGUUCUUCUCGAUACGCGUAAUUCUCUAUAACUUCAUAGUCAAGGCUCUCGACACUGCUCCCAUCGCCGGUACUUAAGAGACCAACCCCCUCGAACAGACCGUCCUCUGAACUCGGAAUCCGAGACCACAUCAGCUUAGCGGUCUCGAUUCCAUCCUGUAGAUGAUUCGAUAACAUUAUCUCUCUCUCUCUCUCUCAAAAUCCAUCUUCAAUAUCUUUCUCACUGCCCCCCUUGGCUCUUGC